GGCUCAAUGGUCUAGUGGUAGGAUACUCGCUUCGGGCUGACCUUGGUCCGUCUCAUCUAAUGAGAUAAUGUGAGUGGUCCCGGGUUCAAAUCCCGGUUGAGCCC